rnacentral:tRNA from 1 species
GCGCCUGUAGUGAAAUGGAUAUCACGUCUGCCUUCGAAGCAGAUAUUGGGGGUUCGAAUCCCUCCAGGCGCA